GACGAACGCUGGCGGCGUGCUUAACACAUGCAAGUCGAACGGAAAGGCCUCUUUCGGGGGGUACUCGAGUGGCGAACGGGUGAGUAACACGUGAGUAACCUGCCCUUGACUUUGGGAUAACUUCAGGAAACUGGGGCUAAUACCGGAUAGGAGCUCCUGCUGCAUGGUGGGGGUUGGAAAGUUUCGGCGGUUGGGGAUGGACUCGCGGCUUAUCAGCUUGUUGGUGGGGUAGUGGCUUACCAAGGCUUUGACGGGUAGCCGGCCUGAGAGAGUGACCGGCCACAUUGGGACUGAGAUACGGCCCAGACUCCUACGGGAGGCAGCAGUGGGGAAUAUUGCACAAUGGGUGGAAGCCUGAUGCAGCAACGCCGUGUGCGGGAUGACGGCCUUCGGGUUGUAAACCGCUUUCGCUCAUGACGAAGCUUUGUGUGACGGUAGUGGGUAAAGAAGCACCGGCUAACUACGUG
rnacentral:rRNA from 1 species